rnacentral:rRNA from 1 species
UACGUAGGGUGCAAGCGUUGUCCGGAUUUAUUGGGCGUAAAGAGCGUGUAGGCGGCUGGGUAGGUCCGCUGUGAAAACUCGAGGCUUAACCUCGAGACGUCGGUGGAAACCAUCCAGCUAGAGUCCGGAAGAGGAGAGUGGAAUUCCUGGUGUAGCGGUGAAAUGCGCAGAUAUCAGGAAGAACACCCGUGGCGAAGGCGGCUCUCUGGGACGGUACUGACGCUGAGACGCGAAAGCGUGGGGAGCGAACAGG